UUGGAUUUUUGCAUCACAACUUUGCUGCCAUCACUCAAAACGUAGAGUUCUCAGCGGACACGUUUCUUCUUCAUCUUAUUAAUCAUCAUCUUCUUCUUCUUCUAAAUCUGCUGCUUCUUGUUCUUUUUGAUCGUCACCGUUUAUACUGUACAAAUCUCCAUCUCACUAGAUGAGCUUCGCGAAGAGGGAGUACGAGUUCCUGAAGGAAAUCGGGCUCGGGCCGCGAAAUCCGGGCUGCUACGUCAAUGGGGCUUGGCAAGGACACGGGCCCGUUGUUUCUUCUGUGAAUCCUGCUGAUAAUCAGCCGAUUGCUGAAGUUUCUGAGCAUCCAUUGGAGACUAUGAGGAUGGAAUGGAAGCAUGUGCUGAUUCACAAAGAUAUGGAUGCAG